rnacentral:rRNA from 1 species
AGCGAACGCUGGCGGCAGGCUUAACACAUGCAAGUCGAGCGGGCACUUCGGUGUCAGCGGCAGACGGGUGAGGAACACGUGGGAACGUACCCUUUGGUUCGGAAUAACGCUGGGAAACUAGCGCUAAUACCGGAUACGCCCUUUUGGGGAAAGGCUUGCUGCCGAAGGAUCGGCCCGCGUCUGAUUAGCUAGUUGGUGGGGUAAUGGCCUACCAAGGCGACGAUCAGUAGCUGGUCUGAGAGGAUGAUCAGCCACACUGGGACUGAGACACGGCCCAGACUCCUACGGGAGGCAGCAGUGGGGAAUAUUGGACAAUGGGCGCAAGCCUGAUCCAGCCAUGCCGCGUGAGUGAUGAAGGCCUUAGGGUUGUAAAGCUCUUUUGUCCGGGACGAUAAUGACGGUACCGGAAGAAUAAGCCCCGGCUAACUUCGUG